UGGUUCUGGCAUCGAUGAAGAACGCAGCGAAAUGCGAUAAGUAAUGCGAAUUGCAGAAUUCCAGUGAGUCAUCGAAUCUUUGAACGCACAUUGCGCCCUUUGGUAUUCCGAAGGGCAUGCCUGUUCGAGCGUCAUUAUCACCCCUCAAGCCCCGUGCUUGGUGUUGGACGGCUGGCCGAGGCUCCCCUCGGCCCCUCCUAAAGUCAAUGACGGCGGCCUGUGGUUCCCCCGGUACACUGAGCUUUUUUACCGAGCACGUACUGGACGAGGGCGCCCGGGUCACGGUCUUCUCCUCUUCCGUGAGGAAAAAUGUUUUCUUUUAAGGUUGACCUCGGAUCAGGUAGGAAUACGCGCUGA
rnacentral:misc_RNA from 1 species